GUGCCAGCCGCCGCGGUAAUACAGAGAGUGCAAACGUUGUUCGGAAUUACUGGGCUUAAAGCGCACGUAGGCGGUGUCGUAAGUGUCAGGUGAAAUCCCACGGCUCACCCGUGGAACUGCCUGGCAUACUGCGAUACUCGAGUGUGGUAGGGGAGAGCGGAACUCCUGGUGGAGCGGUGAAAUGCGUAGAUAUCAGGAGGAACACCGGUGGCGAAGGCGGCUCUCUGGUCCACAACUGACGCUGAGGUGCGAAAGCUAGGGGAGCAAACGGGAUUAGAUACCCCAGUAGUCC
rnacentral:rRNA from 1 species